UACAGAGGCCUCGAGCGUUAGGCGGAAUCACUGGGCUUAAAGCGUGUGUAGGCGGACUUCUAAGUACCUUGUGAAAUCCCACGGCUUACCCGUGGAACUGCUCGGUAUACUGGGAGUCUUGAGCCACCUAGGGGCGAGUGGAACAAAUGGUGGAGCGGUGAAAUGCGUAGAUAUCGGAAGGAACACCUGUGGCGAAAGCGGCUCACUGGACCAUAACUGACGCUGAGGCACGAAAGCUAGGGGAGCAAACAGG
rnacentral:rRNA from 1 species